rnacentral:tRNA from 1 species
AGCGGGGUGGAGCAGUCUGGUCAGCUCGCGAGGCCCAUAACCUCGAGGUCACAUGGUUCAAAUCCUGUCCCCGCUA